UUUUGGCUACCCCUUAAAGGCGUAAAAUUGACCCGUUAUUGAGAACCUCCACUAUCUGUCAAAUAAAGGGUCAUUUUAACGGAUCAAUAUUACCCCUUAUUUCGGAAGGCUUGAUUCCCUUCAAAAAGGGUAGUUUUCAAUCUUGUCAUUUUUCAAACGUUUCAUUUGCGGUCGUGAAUCGUGAUGAUCUUGGAACUAGGAAAUGGUGUUUCAUCACCUAAUUUGCAGCACAAAGACGGUUUCGUAUCGGCACUUCAAGCCAGCCGAUGUUGUCGGAUUCUAACUUUUCGUCAUCUCGAUACCGCUACCGCUAGGAAAACGUCCAGGGCAAAUGGGAAUUCCGGACAAAAAAAUCGUAACGGAGGACCGGCAUUUAAAAACUUCCUAUAAUUAUUAAUGAACAAUCUUAUUCCAAAUAAUACAUGAUGUUUUUAAAUAUAGUAAUUCAGUUUUAUUUUGAUUAGACAUUUCAUUGCUUUUUAUUCCAUUCAACAAGCCACUGCUCACAUCUCUAUCCAGCGCAAGCGUUUCAAAUAAGGGGUAGUUUU